UGGGCGAUUGAUGACGAGGCCACUCUGCAGUUCAUGAACAUUUUCUACUCACACUUGGUAAAAGGGAUCAGUGCCAGUGAAUCAUUGAACAAAGCCAUGAAACGUAUGAGAGAAUCUGACGAGUUUAAUGAAGUGAAGCACUGGGCUCCGUUUGUGUUGAUUGGAGAUGACGUCACAAUAGACCUUGGUGGAAACUAAAAAUCGUUUUCAAAUGUAUGGAACACAGAAAUUGUAUAUGGCGAGGAAGACCGAUAAGCAGAAUCUUGACCAAGACGUGUAUCAUUGACGUGCAUUUGUUGGCUUGAUAUGAAGCUCUCUUCCUCACAAGAGAGAGGACUCAAUAUGCUGAUGAAAGACUUUUAACGUACAUAGUGUGAAAAGGAGUGAAAGAUUUCGUAGUUAUUAAGGGGAAAAUGAUUGAUAUAAACCUCUCCAAGAAUAUAUAUAUAGCUUUCUUGAAUGUUCACGGGUGUUAUCGGUGCGAUGAGGCCGAUCUAUUUGAAUGAUUAUCAAGAUAAAUAUUGAUUUUAGCGUUAAUAAGAACCCACAUAGGAAGAGAAAGCAAAUAAGUCAGACAGACAUCGCUGCAGUAUGUUAUUUUAUCUAUCAUUACAACCCUGAGAACCAUUUAAACGUCUAGCUGAAGCAACGUGUUUUAAUUUUAUUGUUACAGCGAUGAAGUCUUUUUUGAGCGGUUUUCCAGUAGCUUUAUCUAAGUAGCGAGUCUCACCACUGUCUCACGGUGCAGGUAUAAUAUAAAUAGCAACAUCUCAGUAUUUUCAGAAAUGUUCAAAAUCUAUUAAGUGUUGGGUUCCUUAGACAUUGUAUAACCCGCUUGGAGAAGUCAAGUUUUUUUUAAAUUUAUAUUUUCUUAUUUUUUAAGUUAUUUUUAUGUCACUUUUCUUUAAGAGAGUGAUAUCCAGUGAUAUCCGUUUUAUUAUUUUUUUGUUUGGAAUAACUGACGGACUUUGGUUGUAACCUGAUAAGUCGUUAAUGGGUCCAUAAUAAAAACUGUUUUGUUACCAAACAGUAGUAAAUU